GUCAUCCUGUUGGUAGCUGCACUGUACAGUAUUUUAUCGUGUGUUGAAAGUUUACGACAUCUGGUCUAGAUACAUGUGAAGGAGAAGAGAUGUGUGUUCAUGUGGAACUGGUUUGACCCUAACACAUUCUGUGCAUGUACCAAGUCACACUAUCUGGACCAAGGUCACACUAUCUGGACCAUGUGUUGUUAUGUUAUAUUUCGAAGGAGUCUGCUGUUGUUUAUUCGUGUUAUCCUUGUUAUGCAUUAUUUAACAAGAAACAAGCUACAUAUUGUAUUGACAUCAGCAUUCAGUAAAUCACUCACAGUAUGUCCAGCGCCAGCUUUGUGGCGAUUAGUAGCGAUCAGAAAAUGUGCUGACGAGUCAAUGUAUCACUGUCUUUACAAUGGAGUAACUGGGGAUUUCGAUGAUAGCUGUUUCAUUUCAGAACGUUAUCCAGCAGGCAGUUAUGUUUUAUAUGAAGGUGGUCUCAAUUCUAAACAUUGCCCCGAUGGCCAGUAUCAACCGAUGCCAUACGCAUCAAAUGAAGACAAUAAAAAUGACAAAUGCAUGUACAUAAAGACACGAUGUAAUGGUGCAGGUCAACUCAUGCAUGACCUCAGUGAAAAGCCGGAUAAAGAUAGAACAUGUCGAUGUGAUUACAGUCGGGGGUAUGAUUUUGUCUU